UACGUAGGGUGCAAGCGUUGUCCGGAAUUAUUGGGCGUAAAGAGCUCGUAGGCGGUUUGUCGCGUCUGCUGUGAAAACUCGGGGCUUAACCCCGGGCCUGCAGUGGGUACGGGCAGACUAGAGUGCGGUAGGGGAGACUGGAAUUCCUGGUGUAGCGGUGAAUGCGCAGAUAUCAGGAAGGAACACCCGGUGGCGAAGGCGGGUCUC
rnacentral:rRNA from 1 species